rnacentral:rRNA from 1 species
GACGAACGCUGGCGGCGUGCUUAACACAUGCAAGUCGUACGGUAAGGCCCUUUCGGGGGUACACGAGUGGCGAACGGGUGCGUAACACGUGAGUAACCUGCCCACAACUUUGGGAUAACGCUAGGAAACUGGUGCUAAUACUGGAUAUGUGCUCCUGCUGCAUGGUGGGGGUUGGAAAGCUCCGGCGGUUGUGGAUGGACUCGCGGCCUAUCAGCUUGUUGGUGGGGUAGUGGCCUACCAAGGCGGCGACGGGUAGCCGGCCUGAGAGGGUGACCGGCCACAUUGGGACUGAGAUACGGCCCGGACUCGUACGGGAGGCAGCAGGGGGGAAUAUUGCACGAUGGGCGCAAGCCUGAUGCAGCAACGCCGCGGGCGGGAAGACGGCCUUCGGGUUGUAAACCGCUUUCAGCAGGGACGAAGCUUUUUGUGACGGUACCUGCAGAAGAAGCACCGGCUAACUACGUG